AUUGAACGCUGGCGGCAUGCCUUACACAUGCAAGUCGAACGGCAGCACGGGAGCAAUCCUGGUGGCGAGUGGCGAACGGGUGAGUAAAGUAUCGGAACGUGCCCAGUCGUGGGGGAUAACGUAGCGAAAGUUACGCUAAUACCGCAUACGAUCUAUGGAUGAAAGCGGGGGAUCGCAAGACCUCGCGCGAUUGGAGCGGCCGAUAUCAGGUUAGGUAGUUGGGGGGGUAAAGGCUCACCAAGCCGACGAUCUGUAGCUGGUCUGAGAGGACGACCAGCCACACUGGGACUGAGAGACGGCCCAGACUCCUACGGGAGGCAGCAGUGGGGAAUUUUGGACAAUGGGCGCAAGCCUGAUCCAGCCAUGCCGCGUGCAGGAUGAAGGCCUUCGGGUUGUAAACUGCUUUUGUACGGAACGAAAAGGUUUGACUUAAUACGUUGGACUCAUGACGGUACCGUAAGAAUAAGCACCGGCUAACUACGUGCCAGCAGCCGCAGUAA
rnacentral:rRNA from 1 species